AAGGUCCCAAAGUCAUGGUUAAGUGGGAAACGAUGUGGGAAGGCCCAGACAGCCAGGAUGUUGGCUUAGAAGCAGCCAUCAUUUAAAGAAAGCGUAAUAGCUCACUGGUCGAGUCGGCCUGCGCGGAAGAUGUAACGGGGCUAAACCAUGCACCGAAGCUGCGGCAGCGACACUAAGUGUUGUUGGGUAGGGGAGCGUUCUGUAAGCCUGCGAAGGUGUGCUGUGAGGCAUGCUGGAGGUAUCAGAAGUGCGAAUGCUGACAUAAGUAACGAUAAAGCGGGUGAAAAGCCCGCUCGCCGGAAGACCAAGGGUUCCUGUCCAACGUUAAUCGGGGCAGGGUGAGUCGACCCCUAAGGCGAGGCCGAAAGGCGUAGUCGAUGGGAAACAGGUUAAUAUUCCUGUACUUGGUGUUACUGCGAAGGGGGGACGGAGAAGGCUAUGUUGGCCGGGCGACGGUUGUCCCGGUUUAAGCGUGUAGGCUGGUUUUCCAGGCAAAUCCGGAAAAUCAAGGCUGAGGCGUGAUGACGAGGCACUACGGUGCUGAAGCAACAAAUGCCCUGCUUCCAGGAAAAGCCUCUAAGCAUCAGGUAACAUUAAAUCGUACCCCAAACCGACACAGGUGGUCAGGUAGAGAAUACCAAGGCGCUUGAGAGAACUCGGGUGAAGGAACUAGGCAAAAUGGUGCCGUAACUUCGGGAGAAGGCACGCUGAUAUGUAGGUGAAGCGACUUGCUCGUGGAGCUGAAAUCAGUCGAAGAUACCAGCUGGCU
rnacentral:rRNA from 1 species